GGCCAUGUGGCGAAGAUAGCUAACGCGGCGGUCUGCAAAACCGCUACACGUGGGUGCAAAUCCCACCAUGGCCU
rnacentral:tRNA from 1 species